rnacentral:rRNA from 1 species
UACGUAGGGUGCAAGCGUUAAUCGGAAUUACUGGGCGUAAAGCGUGCGCAGGCGGUUAUGUAAGACAGGUGUGAAAUCCCCGGGCUUAACCUGGGAACUGCAUUUGUGACUGCAUAGCUAGAGUACGGUAGAGGGGGAUGGAAUUCCGCGUGUAGCAGUGAAAUGCGUAGAUAUGCGGAGGAACACCGAUGGCGAAGGCAAUCCCCUGGACCUGUACUGACGCUCAUGCACGAAAGACGUGGGGAGCAAACGAGG